rnacentral:tRNA from 3 species
GGGCGAUUAGCUCAGUUGGUUAGAGCGCCACCCUUACAAGGUGGAAGUCGGCCGUUCGAGUCGGCCAUCGCCCA